GGGCCAGACUCCUACGGGAGGCAGCAGUGAGGAAUAUUGGUCAAUGGGCUUACGCCUGAACCAGCCAAGUCGCGUGAGGGAAGACUGCCCUAUGGGUUGUAAACCUCUUUUGUCAGGGAGCAACGCCGGCUACGUGUAGCCGGACUGAGAGUACCUGAAGAAAAAGCAUCGGCUAACUCCGUGCCAGCAGCCGCGGUAAUACGGAGGAUGCGAGCGUUAUCCGGAUUUAUUGGGUUUAAAGGGUGCGUAGGCGGAAUGCCAAGUCAGCGGUAAAAUCGGGGGGCUCAACCUCGCUCCGCCGUUGAAACUGGCGUUCUUGAGUGGGCGAGAAGUAUGCGGAAUGCGUGGUGUAGCGGUGAAAUGCAUAGAUAUCGCGCAGAACUCCGAUUGCGAAGGCAGCAUGCCGGCUCCAGACUGACGCUGAGGCACGAAAGCGUGGGGAUCGAACAGGAUUAGAUACCCUUGUA
rnacentral:rRNA from 1 species